GUAUUAUCACAGUGGCAUAAAAUUGCGGACUGUACAGUUAUAUAUGUACACAAAAUAUAGAUAUUAUAUUUUAUACAUAGAAUGAUGAUACCACCACAGUGUGAUACUGUUAUACAUCAUAAUGUGAAUACUGGGAAAUUCAAGACAUCUAAUCAUUAUUAACUAUUAUUUAUAUUGGUUUUUGUUUGAGCAUUCAACUGACUAAAUUUUAUUAUUUUAAUGUAAGUUAGGCAAGAAUACACACUUGCUUGAGAUUCAUUACCAUUUCAUGAACAAGUGACCACAUUGCAAUAUAUUUUUAUAUGUCACAAAGUGUAAAAAUAGAGUUUCUUUUUCAAGAAAAGAUCGAUAUUAAGAAGUGACUAACAUAUAUUUUCUUUUAGAAUUAAGCACUAAACACUUUUAAAACACGUUU